rnacentral:rRNA from 1 species
AUUGAACGCUGGCGGCAGGCCUAACACAUGCAAGUCGAGCGAGCGGCGGACGGGUGAGUAAUGUAUGGGAAUCUGCCUGAUGGAGGGGGAUAACUACUGGAAACGGUAGCUAAUACCGCAUACCAUCAGAUGUACCCAUAUGGGAUUAGCUUGUAGGUAAGGUAACGGCUUACCUAGGCGACGAUCCCUAGCUGGUCUGAGAGGAUGAUCAGCCACACUGGAACUGAGACACGGCCCAGACUCCUACGGGAGGCAGCAGUGGUGAAUAUUGCACAAUGGGCGCAAGCCUGAUGCAGCCAUGCCGCGUGUGUGAAGAAGGCCUUCGGGUUGUAAAGUACUUUCAGUGAGGAGGCGUUACCCGCAGAAGAAGCACCGGCUAACUCCGUGCCAGCAGCCGCGGUAAUAC